AUGGAGAAUUUCAAACUAGGGAAUUACCAUGGUAAUGCAAGUAGAAAGAGAAAGCGCAUGGAGAAUAAUCCCACAUGGCACCUGAGGGCGAGCUUACAUGAUUUGCCAUGCCGGAAGGAUCUUUUGUUACCGCACAACCUGGAUGUUAUGCACACUGAGAAGAACAAAUGUGAGAGUAUCAUUGGUACACUCCUUGAACUUCAUGGUAAGAACAAGGAUACCAUCGGGAAAAGAUCGGAUUUACAACAUCUAGGGAUGUGGAACAAGCAUUGGUUGCAAGAUAAUAAGAAUAAGGAGGGUUCUUACAAGAAGUAUCCUGCAUCAUGGACACUUAGUAAGGAAGACAAAAUAAAGUUGUGCCAGUUUCUGGCUAAUGUCAAAUUCCCAUUUGGUCAUGCUGCAAACCUGACAACAUACGUGGAUGUUGAGACUAGUAAAUUACAUGAUAUUGAGACACGUGAUUACCACAUACUUCUGCAAACUAUCUUACCAGUCAGUCUUAGAGGAAUUGUCCCCAAGGAGACGUAUGAGGCUAUUACCGAACUAGGCAGAUUUUUUAAGGAAUUUUGA
rnacentral:rRNA from 1 species